rnacentral:rRNA from 1 species
GUGGGUAGUUUGACUGGGGCGGUCUCCUCCCAAAGAGUAACGGAGGAGCACGAAGGUUAGCUAAUCCUGGUCGGACAUCAGGAGGUUAGUGCAAUGGCAUAAGCUAGCUUGACUGCGAGCGUGACGGCGCGAGCAGGUGCGAAAGCAGGUCAUAGUGAUCCGGUGGUUCUGAAUGGAAGGGCCAUCGCUCAACGGAUAAAAGGUACUCCGGGGAUAACAGGCUGAUACCGCCCAAGAGUUCAUAUCGACGGCGGUGUUUGGCACCUCGAUGUCGGCUCAUCACAUCCUGGGGCUGAAGUAGGUCCCAAGGGUAUGGCUGUUCGCCAUUUAAAGUGGUACGCGAGCUGGGUUUAGAACGUCGUGAGACAGUUCGGUCCCUAUCUGCCGUGGGCGCUGGAGAAUUGAGGGGGGCUGCUCCUAGUACGAGAGGACCGGAGUGGACGCAUCACUGGUGUUCGGGUUGUCAUGCCAAUGGCACUGCCCGGUAGCUAAAUGCGGAAGAGAUAAGUGCUGAAAGCAUCUAAGCACGAAACUUGCCCCG